GAUGAACGCUGACAGAAUGCUUAACACAUGCAAGUCUACUUGAAUUUGGGUUUUUUCACUUAGAUUUGGGUGGCGGACGGGUGAGUAACGCGUAAAGAACUUGCCUCACAGCUAGGGACAACAUUUGGAAACGAAUGCUAAUACCUGAUAUUAUGAUUAUAAGGCAUCUUAGAAUUAUGAAAGCUAUAUGCGCUGUGAGAGAGCUUUGCGUCCCAUUAGCUAGUUGGAGAGGUAACGGCUCACCAAGGCGAUGAUGGGUAGCCGGCCUGAGAGGGUGAACGGCCACAAGGGGACUGAGACACGGCCCUUACUCCUACGGGAGGCAGCAGUGGGGAAUAUUGGACAAUGGACCAAGAGUCUGAUCCAGCAAUUCUGUGUGCACGACGACGUUUUUCGGAAUGUAAAGUGCUUUCAGUUGGGAAGAAAAAAAUGACGGUACCAACAGAAGAAGUGACGGCUAAAUACGUG
rnacentral:rRNA from 1 species